rnacentral:rRNA from 1 species
UUUUCCGUUGAUCCUGCCGGACCCUACUGCUAUCGGGGUGGGACUAAGACAUGCGAGUUGAGCGUCUCCAAGCUAUGGUGGAGACGCAGCAUACGGCUCAGUAACACGUGGCUAACCUACCCUUAGGACGGGGACAACCCCGGGAAACUGGGGCUAAUACCAGAUAGGUAAGGAGGCCUGGAAUGGUUCUUAGUCAAAAAGGCGUUGAAACCAUGCUUUUCGACGUCGCCUAAGGAUGGGGCCGCGUCCGAUCAGGUUGUUGGUGGGGUAACGGCUCACCAAGCCUAUAACCGGUACGGGCCGUGAGAGCGGGAGCCCGGAGAUGGGCACUGAGACAAGGGCCCAGGCCCUACGGGGCGCAGCAGUCGCGAAAACUCCGCAAUGCGCGCAAGCGUGACGGGGCUACCCCGAGUGCCGUCUGCUGAGGAUGGCUUUUCCCCGGUGUAAUGAGCCGGGGGAAUAAGGAGAGGGCAAGACUGGUGUCAGCCGCCGCGGUAAUACCAGCUCUCCGAGUGGUAGGGAUGAUUAUUGGGCUUAAAGCGUCCGUAGCCGGCUUAGCAAGUCUCCUGUUAAAUUCAGCGACUUAAUCGUUGAGCCGCGGGAGAUACUACUAGGCUAGGAGGCGGGAGAGGCCGACGGUAUUCUCGGGGUAGGGGUGAAAUCCUAUAAUCCCGGGAGGACCACCAGUGGCGAAGGCUGUCGGCUAGAACGCGCUCGACGGUGAGGGACGAAAGCUGGGGGAGCGAACCGGAUUAGAUACCCGGGUAGUCCCAGCUGUAAACGAUGCGGGCUAGGUGUUGGGGUGGCUACGAGCCACUUCAGUGCCGCAGGGAAGCCAUUAAGCCCGCCGCCUGGGGAGUACGGCCGCAAGGCUGAAACUUAAAGGAAUUGGCGGGGGAGCACCACAAGGCGUGAAGCUUGCGGUUCAAUUGGAGUCAACGCCGGAAAUCACUAGU